UAGUCUUCAAAGGAUUUCAAAGAAGUUUUUGCUUGAUGUCAGAGAUGAAUAAUUUGAACAUAUACUAAUUUUUCCAAUAAUUAAACUAUUAAAGCAAGGAAAUGGUACAUAUGUUCGCCCUCAAAAAAAUGAGACAUAGGUUCAUCCUUCAUACAACCACAACUUGAAGGGUGCAGAGCGAGGCGGCAAAACCUGUAAGAUGCAGCCAUGUGAAACACGAUAGAACUGCCACCACGAGAUCAAUCAACCAUCGUUGACAGAGAAAAAACCUUGACCAUCAUUUAACAUCUGUCAACGAAUCCAACCCCGCUUCUACUGAUGAUAACCAAAGAACCUUCCUUGGAAAAGGAAAAUGAUUAGAUUGUUUAUAACAGUAAUAUUUUGAUCCCGAGGACCCAAAUUCAGAGCUAUGCCAUUAUGUUUGUGCAAAACCCGUUAACACAACAUAAAACCAAAACUGGGAAACUCCUAUGCCAAACCAUUACAUCCUAAACUACUAUAUGUCAGCAUAUAACAUAUUCAUUUGGAUUCGAUGCCUUGUACAUGCCAGGUUAUGGAUACUGGUAUUUGCUUAGAUUACGCGGUACACUUCUAAAAAGCAAUAUUUCCUAGAAGCAGCAUAUGACUUUGAAGCUUUCACCUGCAGACCAGGAACACACGUACAUGAGUCUGCUCAAAGCAUAUCUGCACAUGUUGGUAUUCAACCAAGUAAUUAAGUAAAAUAAUUUUGUUCUUUGAAAAAAGUAAGAUAAGCUUUGCUCGUCUAAGUUAAAUGGUUAACAGAGGAUCAAACCUGUCCUAGAACGACCAAAUUUCAACAAAACAAGAACCUUAAAGAAGACAUACAUGCAUAUUAUAGAGA
rnacentral:lncRNA from 1 species